CAGGUUAUAGCUUAGACAAUAAAGCAGCUCCCUUACACUGAGCAGUCAUUUGUGCAAAUCAAAUUAACCUGA
rnacentral:tRNA from 1 species